AUGGCAUCAUGGCAAGGGGCUCCGCAUUCACCUGAGCCAACACUGUCAGCACUACUACUCCGUCGUUGGUCAUUACGUUGCUCUGCUCUUGUAGCCCAAGUCCUUACAAGGACCUCACGCUGGCACUUCCAAGUCCAAGUUUUAGAAGCGCUCCUCGGAGAGCUAAAUCAACAGCGCGGAGCCAGGCGGAGCACUAUGGGCGGCACAGGAAGGAAGACGGCUGCAGGCCAGCAGCUCCUUCAGACGCAGAGCCUUACACCGAGGCAAGUGACGCACAGUAGGAACGUGCACACUCGGGCGUCACCGUGGCACCGCAGGGGAGCAAGAACUGAAGAGCACAGUUCAGAGACAUGGAGAAUAUUCACUUCACCCAGAGGAAAUGUGAAGAGGAACCUCUCUGUUUGGGAUGAACAAGGCCUCUCUAAAGUGAUUUGAGGGGUACAGCUAUCCAGACACAUUGAAAAUAAAAAGGAUCCCGUAUAAGACCAUGAGAAAGCCUCAUCAUUAAUUGCAUUUUUUGUGGUUUAAAAUUGGCAUACAGUGACAAAAAAAAAAAAAAGGAGUAUAGAGUGACUGAGCUUAUCUAUUACACACACAAAUACACACACGUGUGCACACUUACACUCUGUUGCCUGGUGUCCAGGCUUAAACCAAGGCUGAACUGUCACCUCUCUGCUCUACCUAUGCAAACACCAAAACAUCUCGAUCUCCACCCUCAGAGCCAGCCCUGACACCACGACCUGGCACCAAUCCGGUGGGGACAUCGGGAGGGUAGCUGAGGUGGAACACAAACAUGGGCCCCUGUGCGGAAGGCACCUCAACAUUUUUCAUUAGAGGGAUGUGUGAACAAAUUGUCUUUGCUAGAAAGCUUUGGUUGGCUAGCCUUCUAGUGCAGAAAAAAAACUGAGGAAGGGCCUGAACCCCAAAUUUACAGAAGAAUAACUAAAAAUAAUGAAUGAUCACCGGUAACAAAGUUAGAAAAAGGUGAAAUGCCAUUUUCCUCUAUCAAAUUAGCAAAGAACAUUAUCACGAUGGGUGUAACAGAAGGAACUGCAUCAUACACUUCCUGUGUAAAGUGAUAGAAACCUUCUGGCAAACAAUUUGGGAACUGGACCUUAAGUGUCCGUUCUCUUUGAAUCAUUUACUCUAGGAUUGCAUCCUAAGAAAAUAACCAGAAAUGUGAACAGAAAUGUAUGUACCAAAAAAUGUUUGUUGCAGUGAUAUUUUAAAAGGGAAAAAGUUGGAAACAUUCUAACUGUCCAAGUGUUAAAUGUAUUACUAUAUAUCCUCAAAACGAAAUCAUUUGCAAUCGUGAAUAGUUAAGUCUGUGACUGGAAGUCCUAGCAAUCAGGUGAGAAAAAGAAAUAAAAGGCACCCAAAUUGAUAAGGAAGAAGAAAACUUUCACUCUUUGCAGAUGACAUGAUAGCAUAUACAGAAAACCCUAGACUACCAAAAAGCUACUAGAACUAAUAAAUGAAUCCAGUAAAGUCACAGGAUACAAAAUUAAUAUACAGAAAUCCAUUGCAUUUGUAUGCCUAAUAAUGAAGCAGCACAAAGAGAAAGUAAGGAAACAAUCCCUUUUACCAAAAAUAAUAAAAUACUGGGAAUAAACUUAACCCAGUAAGUGAAAGACCUGAACUCCAAAACCUAUAAAACAUUGAUCGUAGAUAACACAGUGAUUGAGGAUGACACAAAUAGAAAGAUAUCCCAUGCUUACGGAUUAGAAGAACUGAUAUUGUUAAAAUUUCUGUACCACCCAAAGCCCCCUACAGAUUUAAUGCAACCUCUAUCAAAAUACCAACUUCGUUUUUCACAGAAACAGAACAAAUAACACUAAAAUUUGGAGGGAACCACAGAAGAACCCAAAUAGCCAAAACAAUCUUGAAAAAAAAGGACAAAACUAGAAGUAUCACAAUCCCAGGUUUCAAGAUAUACUACAAAGCUGUGGUAACCAAAACAGCAUGAUACUGGCACAAAAGUAGACACAUAGAUCAACAGGACAGAAGAGAGAACCCAGAACUCAACCCAAGACUUAUAUGGUUAAUCAAUCUAAGACAAAAGAGCCCAGAAUAUACAACAGAGAAGACAUUCUCUUCCACACAUGGUGCUGGGAAAUCUGAACAGCUACGUGCAAAAGAAUGAAACUAGACCACUUUCUGACACCAUACACAGAGUAAAUUCCAAAUGUAUUAGAGACCAUCAAAUGUGAGACCUGACACCAUAAGACUCCUGGAAGGAAACAUGGGCAGUACUUUCUUUGACAUCAGCCAUAGAAACAUUUUUCUAGAUGUUUCCACAGGGAAAGGAAACAAAAGCAGGAUUAAACUAUUGGGACUACACAAAAAUAAGAAGCUUUUGCACAGUGGAGGAAACCAACAAUAAAACAAUAAAACAAGGACAACAAUCCAAUUUGAAAAAUAGGCGGAGGACCUGAAUAGACAUUUUCCCAGAGAAGACAUCCAGAAGGCCCACAGACACCUGGAAAGAUGUGGAACAUCACUCAUCAUUGGGGAAAUGCAAAUCAAAACCAGAAUGAGCUAUCACCUCACACCCUGUCAGAAUGGCUAGAUUCAAAAAGACAAGA
rnacentral:lncRNA from 1 species